rnacentral:rRNA from 1 species
GUGGGGAAUAUUGGGCAAUGGGCGCAAGCCUGACCCAGCAACGCCGCGUGAAGGAAGAAGGCUUUCGGGUUGUAAACUUCUUUUACCAGGGACGAAACAAAUGACGGUACCUGGUGAAUAAGCCACGGCUAACUACGUGCCAGCAGCCGCGGUAAUACGUAGGUGGCGAGCGUUAUCCGGAUUUAUUGGGUGUAAAGGGCGUGUAGGCGGGACAGCAAGUCAGAUGUGAAAACCAGAGGCUCAACCUCUGGCCUGCAUUUGAAACUGUUGUUCUUGAGUGUCGGAGAGGUAAGCGGAAUUCCGUGUGUAGCGGUGAAAUGCGUAGAUAUACGGAGGAACACCAGUGGCGAAGGCGGAUUACUGGACGAUAACUGACGCUGAGGCGCGAAAGCGUGGGGAGCAAACAGGAUUAGAUACCCUUGUAGUCC